rnacentral:tRNA from 1 species
GCUUGUAGCUCAGUUGGUUAGAGCGCAUCUCUGAUAAGGAUGAGGUCCGUGGUUCGAAUCCACGCAGGCCCACGCUG